GGUCUGUGAUAGGUGUUGACGUGUCUUAGCUGAGCCUGGAUCUGAAGAUGGUCAGUUCAGCUCUAGAAUUCCUCUGAGACCUG
ensembl:snoRNA small nucleolar RNA SNORD45